GAUGAACGCUGGCGGCGUGCCUAAUACACGCAAGUCGAGCGAACAGAUAAGGAGCUUGCUCCUUUGACGUUAGCGGCGGACGGGUGAGUAACACGUGGGUAACCUACCUAUAAGACUGGGAUAACUUCGGGAAACCGGAGCUAAUACCGGAUAACAUUUGGAACCGCAUGGUUCUAAAGUGAAAGAUGGUUUUGCUAUCACUUAUAGAUGGACCCGCGCCGUAUUAGCUAGUUGGUAAGGUAACGGCUUACCAAGGCGACGAUACGUAGCCGACCUGAGAGGGUGAUCGGCCACACUGGAACUGAGACACGGUCCAGACUCCUACGGGAGGCAGCAGUAGGGAAUCUUCCGCAAUAGGCGAAAGCCUGACGGAGCAACGCCGCGUGAGUGAUGAAGGGUUUCGGCUCGUAAAACUCUGUUAUUAGGGAAGAACAAAUGUGUAAGUAACUGUGCACGUCUUGACGGUACCUAAUCAGAAAGCCACGGCUAACUACGUG
rnacentral:rRNA from 1 species